UCCAUUUAGAAUCCCACUAUUCGAUGAAACGGUUGAUAACACAAUGACAUUUGACAUGAUUUUGGUUAAUAAUUAUAAAUUAUUAAUGAUAAUUAACUAAUGGUAAUUAUUAAGUGCUGUGAGCCCAAUAGUCACACCACCAGAGUGUAUCUCUGAUAUUUGUAGGAAAUGAUUUUUGGUUAGAAUUUAUUUCUGCUAAUUAUGAUUUUUUAUUAGAAUUUUUGAGGACACCAUGUCUCUUGACUAGGAUUUGCUCAAUUCUACUCCAGAAGAAUAAUAGUAAUCUUUCUGCGGUGUUUUGUGGAUGAAAAGUGGCUUGUUUUGGUGUAUUUCAUAGCAUGAAACCAGAUUUAAUUUUGCAGCUGAUCAUAAUUGAACUCCCUGUGUUCUAACAGCUGCUGGAGUAAUCAGUUUGGGUUACCAUAGAUACCAAAUUCCUACAACCUCUGAUGUCCAUUGAAUGUAACUACAGCUGGAACUAAUACUCUCAGUCGAGGAGAUAGCACCACCCCCAUCUGGUUGUCAUUGGAUGCAAUUGCAAUUGCAGCUGGAUUUUCCCCAGUGUGAGAAAGGCGAUUGGUGCCCUCUGGUGUUGACUGAGUCCAAAUUCACUUCAUGGCUGGGGUCCCAAAAAAGGAAGUUGGCAGAGAGAUCAGGAGACAGACGGAACAUGAUUGACUGAGCUGCAACAUACAGAAACAAGAAGCUGUGCCCAGUCGAGUCAGCAAACAGACAUCAGAGUGAGGGGACCACUGCCACAUUCCAAGGCAGUGCCAGGAGAGAGAAAGCUAGUCAAUUUUAGUGUGACGUUCCAUGUUGAACAACUGAAUGUCAAGAAAUACCCUGUUUGCAGUGCCUGAGAGAGGGAAAUGUGGGAAUUGCACCUGCUAAGAUUCAAACUCCAUUCCUAGCUAUUGCAGCCCAAUCACCGCCCGCAGCCAUGAACACCUGUGCUGCAAGAGAGAUAAAGCUAUGCCUGGCCUACUGUGAUGAGAUCCCCAAGCCCAACACAAAGGACAUUGCACCAGUGUUUCCCAGUCUCGAAAGAUGUUGAUAAGUAGGGCCCAAAGUAGGACACCAUCCAGCAACGUGGAUAAGCCAGCCAAUACCUCCCUUCCACAAGACCACAUUCAGGCCAAAAUGACAGCUGUGGGUCAAGACUUUUCCCAACAGCUGAAUUGGGGGACAGAAGUAUACAAGUCACACCUGCUGAGGUCAGAAUUGGUUCGGAGAGAGAAGUGACUCAACAGCUGAUUUUGGACAACAAGUUAGGCAUCCUCGUAACAGUUCUGUCAUGGUGGUUCAGUGGCUUUAGGUUCUUUCCUCCUUUUCUCUCAAAUUCACUUUGGGCAAUAUGUUAGGCAAGUUAUGUGUGAAGACCUUUGUUUAAACUUUAAACCUUUGACUAAAAGAUAAGGCUUUAACUCAGUUCUGCAUAAUAUCUACAAUAUGCUGCUGUGUGAUGUAAAUAUUCUCCUUCUGUGCAUGUGGGUCCCUUUGUGAUAAUAAACAGUUCAGACUGACAUGGGAUGGUGUUUGCAAUUAAUUAGUAGUGCGAACAAUCAGCAAAAAAUCUGAAUUGAGCAUCAAGACCUAUUGUCUUAACGUAGCCUGAGAGUUCAUCAGAAACUUUUAAUCUGAUGCUUCACAUGGAGGCAAAUUGAUUUUCAUACCUUCUUUUUUAUCUCCACAGCCACAUAACCACAACUAGAACUACAAGAACCAGAAAAAAACAGAUAAGACACAGAUACAAUAACCCGAAUGAGAGAAGGAGGAGAGGUGCUGUAUGCUUAAAGAGUAGAACUAGAGCUGCAAUGCUGUUGUAGGAGGAUCUGUAGGAGAUACAACUUAGUCUGUUGGUCUUAAGUAUUUACAAAUAGCCUUUCGCCAGUGAUCAAUUUAUCAUUAGUGUAUGUCUGUAAACAUGAGGGGAUGUCCUGCAAUCUUAACCUCAGUAGGCCUUGGGGAGUUGAUCCAAACUCAUUGGUAGAAACCUUCAUCAGACCUCUGGACUUUAUGAAUGAUCAGCUCUGGUUUACGUUCAGAUCCAAUGAGACUUUGAUUGAAAAAGGAUGCAGCAACAGUGUACUGAUCUUUCUAUCUGCAACUCAGUGUGACAUCCCUCCAUGUUAUCACAGGAAGUGCAGGAAUUUGCAAGAUCAGAAAAGGUUUACAAAAUCGUCAUUGCCACAAUAAUGCACACCUAUGCUAUCAAUAGUUUGGGAGCAACUGCUGUUAAUGAACAUGCCAAAAAUAAAUUACAUCUGUAGGAAUCUUUCCUCAUUGCUCAUCUAUUGGGUGAAAAUAAGCAUAUACAAUCAUGUGUUUUUUCUUUUUUGUUUCCUCUGCACAUUAGGUUUUUGGAACAUAUUUAUGUGUCUACACAUGAAAAAUAGAGUCAAAUAAACUUUUGUAAACUUUAAAUGCUAUUAAUUUUCAAAGAAAUCGUUUAUCUAAUGCAAUAUUGUGUUAAAAAAAUAAUUUUUGUUUAUUUGAGGUAGCAUGUACAAGAGGCUACAAAAAACACAGUGGAUUUCUAUGCUUCAUAAAAUCUCUCCUGCAUGUGUUGCCGCUUGUUUUUGUUCAUUUUUCUGUUCAUGUUUUCAACUUUCCAAAGCUUCCACACAUUUCUGUUGCAUACUUGGGAAUUUAAAGACUUCUUCAUCUUGUCUUGUGGUCUAUGUUUUCCAUCACCUGAGCUACCGUGGAGUUUAUGGCACUCAAUUUUAAAUAACAAGCACUAAAUAUUUUAUUCUGAAUUCUCCUGCUGUCAUUUUUGCACAUUGUAAAUCCUUAAUUUCAGUCUGUCUGCUAGAAAUCUUGGACAAAGACACAUCAGAAUCCUGUUGAUGCGUCAUAAAGUUGAGCUCACAGCUGUAAAACAUAUACUGAGCAAAUAGAAAAUAUGAGAAUUGAAUUUGUGCAAAUCAUUUUGAACCUGUCUAUAUGAUUGGACUGUUUGUACUGAUUAUGGAAUUUGAUGUGAUUCUAUGUUUUGUAUAUAUAUUUGGUCUGUUUGUAAAGUGUCUUGAGAUGACAUGUCUUGUGAAUUGGUGCUGUACAAAUAAAAUGAAUUGAACUGAA